ACAAAACAACCCACCUGUAUAAAGAUUUAAGGCUUAAAAUAAACAUUCAUACCUGGGGAAGAUCUGUAAAGAUCCAUCCCUAUCAAAAUGUUUCAUUUUCGUUGUCACAACAUUGCUUGUUUGCUGGAGUUUGCUGAUCGGGGGUGGCCUGGUCACUGCUUGUUCGCCGCCGGCUGCUGCUGUUGCUGUCACGGAGCUCGCUGGAAGAGUUGUUCCCGUCGAGAGGAGGAGAGGAAAGGGAAGAGAAGGCAGCGAGGAGAGGAGUGGGGGAACAGAGGUUUCGCCGGAGAGGGCGAUGGUAUCUCUCUGUCUCGCCGGUGUCGAUGGAGAAGAGAGAUG
rnacentral:lncRNA from 1 species